CCCCAGGCUGCUCAACUGGCAAGAUGCAGACGGGGACACGUAUCUUCACAUUGCUGUGGCGCAAGGGAGACGAGCUCUGGCUUACGUGCUUGCUGGGAGAAUGGCCAAACUUGGCUCUUUGGACUUGAAGGAGCACAACGGCCAGACAGCGCUUCAGAUAGCCACUGCCACCAAUCAGCACUUAAUCGUCCGUGAUCUGAUGGCGCACGGAGCACAAAUCAACACUUGUGACUUCUGGG